AUUGAACGCUGGCGGCAGGCCUAACACAUGCAAGUCGAACGGUAACAGGAAGAAGCUUGCUUCUUUGCUGACGAGUGGCGGACGGGUGAGUCAUGUCUGGGAAACUGCCUGAUGGAGGGGGAUAACUACUGGAAACGGUAGCUAAUACCGCAUAACGUCGCAAGACCAAAGAGGGGGACCUUCGGGCCUCUUGCCAUCGGAUGUGCCCAGAUGGGAUUAGCUAGUAGGUGGGGUAACGGCUCACCUAGGCGACGAUCCCUAGCUGGUCUGAGAGGAUGACCAGACACACUGGAACUGAGACACGGUCCAGACUCCUACGGGAGGCAGCAGUGGGGAAUAUUGCACAAUGGGCGCAAGCCUGAUGCAGCCAUGCCGCGUGUAUGAAGAAGGCCUUCGGGUUGUAAAGUACUUUCGGCGGGGAGGAAGGGAGUAAAGUUAAUACCUUUGCUCAUUGACGGUACCCGCAGAAGAAGCACCGGCUAACUCCGUG
rnacentral:rRNA from 1 species